GCCUCGCUGGCUCAGUCGGUGGAGCAUGUGACCCUAGAUCUCGGGGUUGUGAGUUCAAGCCCCAUGCUGGGUG
rnacentral:tRNA from 1 species